rnacentral:tRNA from 1 species
CGGGCCGUGGUGUAACGGUAGCACGGGUCCUUUGGGAGGAUCUAGUUCGAGUUCGAAUCUCGGCGGCCCGACAA